rnacentral:rRNA from 1 species
UGCGCAGGCGGGCUUGUAAGUCAGUGGUGAAAUACUGCCGCUUAACGGUAGAACUGCCAUUGAUACUGCGAGUCUUGAAUAUGGUUGAGGUAGGCGGAAUGUGUUGUGUAGCGGUGAAAUGCAUAGAUAUGACACAGAACGCCGAUUGCGAAGGCAGCUUACUAAGCCAUUACUGACACUGAGGCACGAAAGCGUGGGGAGCGAACAGGAUUAGAUACCCUGGUAGUCC